CCCUUAGAUGUUCUGGGCCGCACGCGCGCUACAAUGAUGAAUUCAACGAGUUUAUAACCUUGGUUGAAAAGCCUGGGUAAUCUUUUGAACUUUCGUCGUGAUGGGGCUAGACCCUUGCAAUUAUUGGUCUCCAACGAGGAAUUCCUAGUAAACGCAAGUCAUCAGCUUGCAUUGAUUACGUCCCUGCCCUUUGUACACACCGCCCGUCGCUACUACCGAUUGAAUGGCUUAGUGAGAUCCUUGGAUCGGCCCUGUCGCGGCUGGCAACGGCCGCGUCGGCGCGUCGAGAAGACGAUCAAACUUGAUCAUUUAGAGGAAGUAAAAGUCGUAACA
rnacentral:rRNA from 1 species